UAGUUGUGUGAAAGGAGAGAAAGUUCGUACUCCCCUUGACAAGGAUGGAAUCGGCCCUUGUGGUCUGCAACAAACACACAAUUAAAAAGUGGCCAUCUAAUUUUGGGCACCUUUAAUUAACCAAGUUU
rnacentral:ncRNA from 1 species